CUAAAUUAUAAGUUUGAAAAGGCUUAAGAGGUAAUGUGGCAGCACAAACCCAUGGGCUCCUUUUCAUCUUUAACAUGCAGGCUUGGAAGAUAAAAGAUUUAAGUGUGCGAGUGUGUAUGUGCACGUGCAUGUGUGUGAAGAGGGUGAGAGAGCAAGACAAAGACAGAAGGCAAAAUGAAGAGAGCAGCACUCAAAGCAACCUAUGUCAACUUUGUUGGAAUUUUUUCCUGUAGCAAAAAGAAUUAUGGAAAAGUCACUUACAAUUGAUCUGAGGACCCCAACUGGCUCCAGAAGGAACUCUGCCCUCUACCAGAAAAGGAUGAAGAGAAGAACUCAACCUCACAGAAAAAUAACAACCAGCCUAUGAACUCCCUUUCCCCAGAAUAAAAGAGGUC
ensembl:lincRNA